GGCGUCGAGCGGCGGACGGGUGAGUAAUGCCUGGGAAAUUGCCCUGAUGUGGGGGAUAACCAUUGGAAACGAUGGCUAAUACCGCAUAAUAGCUUCGGCUCAAAGAGGGGGACCUUCGGGCCUCUCGCGUCAGGAUAUGCCCAGGUGGGAUUAGCUAGUUGGUGAGGUAAGGGCUCACCAAGGCGACGAUCCCUAGCUGGUCUGAGAGGAUGAUCAGCCACACUGGAACUGAGACACGGUCCAGACUCCUACGGGAGGCAGCAGUGGGGAAUAUUGCACAAUGGGCGCAAGCCUGAUGCAGCCAUGCCGCGUGUAUGAAGAAGGCCUUCGGGUUGUAAAGUACUUUCAGCAGUGAGGAAGGCGGGUGUGUUAAUAGCGCAUUCGUUUGACGUUAGCUGCAGAAGAAGCACCGGCUAACUCCGUGCCAGCAGCCGCGGUAAUACGGAGGGUGCGAGCGUUAAUCGGAAUUACUGGGCGUAAAGCGCAUGCAGGUGGUUUGUUAAGUCAGAUGUGAAAGCCCGGGGCUCAACCUCGGAAUUGCAUUUGAAACUGGCAGACUAGAGUACUGUAGAGGGGGGUAGAAUUUCAGGUGUAGCGGUGAAAUGCGUAGAGAUCUGAAGGAAUACCGGUGGCGAAGGCGGCCCCCUGGACAGAUACUGACACUCAGAUGCGAAAGCGUGGGGAGCAAACAGGAUUAGAUACCCUGGUAGUCCACGCCGUAAACGAUGUCUACUUGGAGGUUGUGGCCUUGAGCCGUGGCUUUCGGAGCUAACGCGUUAAGUAGACCGCCUGGGGAGUACGGUCGCAAGAUUAAAACUCAAAUGAAUUGACGGGGGCCCGCACAAGCGGUGGAGCAUGUGGUUUAAUUCGAUGCAACGCGAAGAACCUUACCUACUCUUGACAUCCAGAGAAGCUUGUAGAGAUACGAGUGUGCCUUCGGGAGCUCUGAGACAGGUGCUGCAUGGCUGUCGUCAGCUCGUGUUGUGAAAUGUUGGGUUAAGUCCCGCAACGAGCGCAACCCUUAUCCUUGUUUGCCAGCACUUCGGGUGGGAACUCCAGGGAGACUGCCGGUGAUAAACCGGAGGAAGGUGGGGACGACGUCAAGUCAUCAUGGCCCUUACGAGUAGGGCUACACACGUGCUACAAUGGCGCAUACAGAGGGCGGCCAACUUGCGAGAGUGAGCGAAUCCCAAAAAGUGCGUCGUAGUCCGGAUUGGAGUCUGCAACUCGACUCCAUGAAGUCGGAAUCGCUAGUAA
rnacentral:rRNA from 1 species